UGGGUUGUGGCUCAGUGGCAGAGCGCUUGCCUCGUACAUGUGAGACACUGAGUUCCAUCCUCAGCACCACAU
rfam:Ictidomys tridecemlineatus contig057173, whole genome shotgun sequence.